AUGAACGCUGGCGGCGUGCUUAACACAUGCAAGUCGAACGAGCCUUCGGGCUAGUGGCGGACGGGUGAGUAACGCGUGGGAAUCUGCCCUCAGGAGGGGGAUAACGGCCGGAAACGGCCGCUAAUACCCCAUAUGCCGAGAGGUGAAAUGAAUUUCGCCUGAGGAUGAGCCCGCGUCUGAUUAGCUAGUUGGUGGGGUAAUGGCCCACCAAGGCGACGAUCAGUAGCUGGUCUGAGAGGAUGAUCAGCCACACUGGGACUGAGACACGGCCCAGACUCCUACGGGAGGCAGCAGUGGGGAAUUUUCCGCAAUGGGCGAAAGCCUGACGGAGCAACGCCGCGUGAGGGAUGAAGGCCUCUGGGCUGUAAACCUCUUUUCUCAAGGAAGAAGACAUGACGGUACUUGAGGAAUAAGCCACGGCUAAUUCCGUGCCAGCAGCCGCGGUAAUACGGGAGUGGCAAGCGUUAUCCGGAAUUAUUGGGCGUAAAGCGUCCGCAGGCGGCCUUGUAAGUCUGUCGUUAAAGCGUGGAGCUUAACUCCAUUUCAGCGAUGGAAACUACAAGGCUUGAGUGUGGUAGGGGCAGAGGGAAUUCCCGGUGUAGCGGUGAAAUGCGUAGAUAUCGGGAAGAACACCAGUGGCGAAGGCGCUCUGCUGGGCCAUAACUGACGCUCAUGGACGAAAGCCAGGGGAGCGAAAGGGAUUAGAUACCCCUGUAGUCCUGGCCGUAAACGAUGAACACUAGGUGUCGGGGGAAUCGACCCCCUCGGUGUCGUAGCUAACGCGUUAAGUGUUCCGCCUGGGGAGUACGCACGCAAGUGUGAAACUCAAAGGAAUUGACGGGGGCCCGCACAAGCGGUGGAGUAUGUGGUUUAAUUCGAUGCAACGCGAAGAACCUUACCAGGGUUUGACAUCCUGCGAAUCCCUUGGAAACGAGGGAGUGCCUUCGGGAGCGCAGAGACAGGUGGUGCAUGGCUGUCGUCAGCUCGUGUCGUGAGAUGUUGGGUUAAGUCCCGCAACGAGCGCAACCCACGUCUUUAGUUGCCAGCAUUCAGUUGGGCACUCUAGAGAGACCGCCGGUGAUAAACCGGAGGAAGGUGUGGAUGACGUCAAGUCAUCAUGCCCCUUACAUCCUGGGCUACACACGUACUACAAUGCUACGGACAAAGGGUUGCAAGCUCGCGAGAGUUAGCUAAUCCCAUAAACCGUGGCUCAGUUCAGAUCGUAGGCUGCAACUCGCCUACGUGAAGGAGGAAUCGCUAGUAAUCGCAGGUCAGCAUACUGCGGUGAAUACGUUCCCGGGCCUUGUACACACCGCCCGUCACACCAUGGAAGUUGGCCAUGCCCGAAGUCGUUACUCCAACCCUUGUGGAGGAGGACGCCGAAGGUGGGGCUGAUGACUGGGGUGAAGUCGUAACAAGGUAGCCGUACCGGAAGGUGCGGCUGGAUCACCUCCUA
rnacentral:rRNA from 2 species